UGGCCCCGCAGGGCCGUGGCCACUCCCUCAACCAGCACAAGUGACAGAGGGCCUAGAUGACCACCUCACCCUUGGGGGAGGCCAGAGCUCCCAGCAUCCCCACACAUGGUGACAGCAGGCCCACAGACACUUCAACAGUGGGGUCCCAAAGUCAGGACCCCCUCCUUGCAGAUGUCCCAACGGCUAACGGUGCCACCGUAUCACCUGAACAGCAGGAUGUAGAUCAGGCCUCCAUUGAGCAGGUCACCUCCCAGUCCUCAUCAGAAUCUGGGGACAAGGACAAACAUGAAGCUGCCGUAGGGGACAGCCAGGAGCCUAAGGAGGCCACGGCCCUGCUUGACCACCAGGCCUCAAAUGCUCCACAAAUGCCCACGAGCUCCCAGGACCCAGCAUGGGAGGGACUGGUGCAAAAUGCAAGCAUGUCUCUGAGUCCUCAGACCUCCCAACGAGACCCCCUGGGGGAAGAAGAGACCCCACAAACGUCGGGUACCCCGGACAGUGACCAAGAAUUAGCUCCAACUAUGGCAGCUGCUAAGGCACAGUUCCCCGGAAAGGACACUCAGCCCGCUGUGAGCUCUGCAGACUCGGGUGGUCAGGAGGACACUGAGACCACGGGCACCACCACCACCGCUGAAGGAGGGACUCUUGAGGGGGAACCUGAGGGUCCAGAGACCUUGAACUCUGACACUGAAGCUUCGACUACCGCUGAGUCCCAGGGAGGGACUGAGGAGGAUUUGGUGGGUGGCUCAGAAUAUCUGCAGGCCGAGCAGCUCCCGCCCGCACGAGGAGGCAGUGCCCCCCCCUCACCUGGCCCCCGCGAGGUGGCCCCGGGGAGGAGACCCCUGGACGUCAGCCUUUAUACGGCCAAUGAGGACAACAGCUAUAUGCGCUCCAUGACCAGCCUGCUGGGCGGAGGUGAGGGGUCCAUCAGCUCCCUGGCAGAUAUCCUAGUGUGGUCUGAGACCACCAUGGGCAUGGCCACGGCCUUCCUGGCUUCUGGCCACAGCUCCGCGACAGACGUGCUGCAGAGCAGCGGGCCCAGCCUGCGCUCCGUCUCCAGCAUCCUGGGGAACACCUUCUCCUCUGGGCUGAUGACAGGGACUGGCUCGGCCCUGCGCUCUGUCACCCACAUGCUGGAGACGAUGGAGCAGAGGACUAUAGGGGGCAUCCGCUCGGCCAUGCGCUACCUGAUCAGCUACCUCAGCCCACGCCGGGCCUCUGCCAGACCAGACCCUGACUAGAGGCUACGAAGGGAGCCCCGAAGGACCGGCUCAGCAACCUCCCGAGAGCCUGGGACCCGCAUGCCCCUGCCGCCUCGCCCACCCCUUCCCCGGGCUGGCUCUCCCCAGAUCAGGCAAUAAAUCACUGGAUGGAUAACGAAUCCACAUCGUGAAGAGGUUAUGAGGCAUGAGGGGAACAAUGCAGGGCUUAACACAGGGUGCCUGGCACUUAAGCUCACACAGUUCAGCUGCCACCAUGAUUAUCCUCCAGCGGUCUGGGGACACGGUGGGAACAGGGAUCUAGUAGGGUGACCGACCAUCCGUGUUUGCCUGAGCGUUGGUCUGAACUAAGAGGGUUCCUGGGAGGUGGGACUUUCAGAUUUAAAACCAGGAAAACCCCAGGGCACCUGGGUGGCUCAGUCAGUUAAGCGUCAGACUUUGGCUCAGGUCAUGAUCUUUUAGUUCGUGAGUUCAAG